GGAGAGGUGACAGAGUGGCCGAUUGUGCAGCACUGGAAAUGCUGUGUACCGUUGCCGGUACCGAGGGUUCGAAUCCCUCCCUCUCCGCCA
rnacentral:tRNA from 1 species